GAGGCGCUGCCCACGACGUUUUGGUUGGCCGCGAUGGCGAGCUUCCAGCGGCAGCUGUGGGGCAGACGAGUUCCUGAUGGCGAGGUGGAGACCGAUUUCCGAGAUGCGCCGGCCAGUGUUUGAGGAACAGGGGGCGGCAGCCAGAACAUGAGCAGAAUAAAGGUAGAAAUCUGAGUUCUCUUAUUUGCCUUCCUUCCUGCGAAUUUCGUUAUCUGAAGGCCGUUAGGAACAAUGCAUAUCUGAUUAGCUGAUAUUGAUUAAUUCCCAAAGCUAUGUUUCACGUGGUUGCUUCAUCCCGUGGAUGAUAGCUUGCACCCUUUUUGUGAAUUGUUUGAAGUUGAUCGAUGGUGACAGUGUUGUUAGGACACUGAAUAUUGUAAAUAAGGAUGGGAUUUAUUGUAGAUAUUGUACAUAUAGGAUAGGAGAGGUUUCUUCUGAAAUGCAGAUUGAAAGCGGUAAAGUUUUCCCAUUGUUACAACUUCCAGUUCUUUAGCGAGCAACAUCAUAUUCAUUACGUCUCUUUGCAUUACUUAGAAUCGAGCAAUAAUAAUUGUCAUUUCAAAUUCAUGUAAGCUACUAAUCAGCCUUGUUAUUAGAUUUCAGAAACUAAAACAUCAUGUGUUAUGUACAUGCAAAAAGAUGGAUAUCUCUCACAAAGACAUGGUUUACUGAUUAGCGACAUGAUCUUCUACAGAACUAUUGAUUAGCGACAUCUACUACGAACCAGUCUUGCACCUUGUCUCCGCUGCGGCGUCAAUUCCAUCUGGCCGACCGUCGUGCCCCAUCUUUCCACAUCGCUUGCUGAACGUCCAACGUCCUCUGGGUGUCCCGCCUUUCUUCCUGGCUGGCCAGUCCAGCACAGCCUCCUAUCUCGCUGCCGGUCCCAUUCCAUUUUUUCUUUGAAUGAAUCUGAUUAAGUUUCUUCUCUGUUGUCACCAGCAUACCAAGUAUCAGGUCCUUGCUAUUAUAUUGGCUAUAACCACUAUUCAUAAGUGAAACUAUGUGGUACCAUGCUACUGUAGGUUAUGCGGUUUCUGUUGCUUCAUUAUUUAACUACAUUGCUGAUAUAUAUGAGUAAUCAUUGUUAAUAAUAGUAAAUUGUUAUAUCAUUAUUUUGGUAAAAAGGUAUUUCAACUUGCAUCCAUACAAAUAAACAUGUAUGGAAAGCGUACAAUAGGUGAACUGAAGGAAAUAAAAUUAAAAGGAAUCAGGUCAGUGAAGGUAAGGAGUGAAUUAUCUCAAUAGUUCCACGUUCCCGGAUAAAGGCUGUCUACAUGUUUCAAAUAUGUUCUAAAAAUUCAUUAGGUGUUCAGAGUUUAUGAUGGCAUGUGAUAUUUUAUUUAGGUAAUAAUACUGCAAUUGUUUGCAACUAAUAUUUUUUUUUGUACCAAUCAUGCAUCCAAGCGAUUGAUGACAAGAGCAUGCAUCUCUCAAAAAGUUAGUGGUUAUACUCUAGGUGAAGUAGUUAUUUUACAUAGGAACAUCAUUUGAUAUAUUAUCCAUUGUUUCUGUUGGAUUAAAAUGUUAUCAAUUUAUAUGCAAUCGAAAUUCUCCUGAUGCAAAUUCUCUUUUAUAUUUCUUUUUUGAGUUUAUUUUAAUUCUUUCUCUGUCCGCGAUAUGUGAGUGUUUUGAAGCGAUUUGGUUACAGGUAGCAUGUUGAAAGGAAAGGAAAUGCUGUUGUGAUGAUGCAUCAAUUGGGCACACACAUCUUUUGUGAUCUAAGUUUGCACACGGCAUUUCCUAUGUAGGCUUACCUCAUAGUCCAUAGCAUUAACCGUCAUAGACAUUUGUUAGAGAAACAUCUAUUACUAUACCUUUAUAUGGCUUUCAUUAGAUCUCACGUUGAAUACAUUCCUAUCGUAAAAUACUAUUGCUCAACCUAGGGUCAUAUACAGAAAUUAUGAACUAGCUAACAGAGCUGAUAUAUUUGUGACUCAUAAACAUUAGAACAAUUGCCUAGCUACCUAUCCAGGGCAACUUUGUUAUAGGCAUUUUUUUUGAUAGUAUAGCUGGUUAGUGUUUUAUGUGUAAUAUGAAAAAAAAAUCACACCUUGAAACUUUUGGUUACAUGAUUCUAAUACAUUGCGUCAGAUAUACAAGUACUCAAUACUCUAAUUUUUUAUCACCCCAGAUGUCUUAAGUUUCUCUGGAUGGUAUCCUCCAGGCCUACUGUACUUUGACUUUAUGAUAUUGAGUUGUUUCUAGAAAGCUAUCAUUCAGAAACCCAUUGAGAAAUAAAUAUUGGAUAAAGUGAAAAGACCUAUAAAUUACAUGAUUAUGAUGUAUGCUUCACUUUUUGUUCAGUAAGUUGAUAGGAGCUCCAAAAUGAGUUUACUUUGAUGUGCUAGGGAUAGAAUCAGGUGGCCACACUUCCAAAUUAAAUCAUGCAAUGUAGAUGUUGCAAAUGAAAGUUUCUGAUUGAUAUUAUUUUGUGCGAGUUUAAUUUUCAGAUAUGGUCAUUUAUAGGUUCUCUUGGAAGGCCCAAAUUGCUAUCAACCUCAACAUCUCUAAACAAUUUCUCCGAGCCUUCAAUGUAGCAAUCAAAAAGCCAGUGGGGCUAUGGGAUGAAGUAGAUACAACACUUCCGACCACUAUUUCUUCUGGAUGCAAAACUCACUCCAACAUGUAAUAAGUUACAUCUCAAGCCCAAUAUCGAGCAAUUUUAGUAAUUUGCCACCGCGUGAUUUCUCUGACAAAUAUUUAUUUUUCAUAGUUCAUUUUUAUGUGUAAUAUUUCAUAGACUUAAAAUAAAGAAGAUGGCAUCAAUGUUAUUGUUUGCCUUCUCCAUUAUGUUA